rnacentral:misc_RNA from 1 species
GAAAUGCGAUAAGUAAUGUGAAUUGCAGAAUUCCGUGAAUCAUCGAGUUUUUGAACGCACAUUGCGCUCCUUGGUAUUCCGAGGAGCACGCCUGUUUGAGCGUCAUUUCACUCUCCCUCGGGGUAUUGGAGGCGGCCGCGGCCGCGUCUGAAUGAGAUGAGCGACUACGGAUGAACACUCGUCGAGUAGUCUUGACCUCUCACGUUGACCUCAGAUCAGGCGGGGAUACCCGCUGAACUUAA